UACGAAGGGGGCUAGCGUUGCUCGGAAUCACUGGGCGUAAAGCGCACGUAGGCGGCUUUUUAAGUCAGGGGUGAAAUCCUGGAGCUCAACUCCAGAACUGCCUUUGAUACUGAGAGGCUUGAGUCCGGGAGAGGUGAGUGGAACUGCGAGUGUAGAGGUGAAAUUCGUAGAUAUUCGCAAGAACACCAGUGGCGAAGGCGGCUCACUGGCCCGGUACUGACGCUGAGGUGCGAAGGCGUGGGGAGCGAACGGGG
rnacentral:rRNA from 1 species